UACGGGGGGGGCAAGCGUUGUUCGGAAUUAUUGGGCGUAAAGCGCGCGUAGGCGGCUACUUAAGUCGGAUGUGAAAGCCCCUGGCUCAACUGGGGAAGUGCACCCGAAACUGAGUGGCUUGAGUGCGAAAGAGGGUCGCGGAAUUCCCGGUGUAGAGGUGAAAUUCGUAGAUAUCGGGAGGAACACCGGUGGCGAAGGCGGCGACCUGGGUCGACACUGACGCUGAGGCGCGAAAGCAUGGGGAGCGAACGGG
rnacentral:rRNA from 1 species